CGGGUGAGUAACGCGUGGGUAACCUACCUUAUACAGGGGGAUAACAGUCAGAAAUGGCUGCUAAUACCGCAUAAGCGCACAGAGCUGCAUGGCUCAGUGUGAAAAACUCCGGUGGUAUAAGAUGGACCCGCGUUGGAUUAGCUGGUUGGUGGGGUAACGGCCCACCAAGGCGACGAUCCAUAGCCGGCCUGAGAGGGUGAACGGCCACAUUGGGACUGAGACACGGCCCAG
rnacentral:rRNA from 1 species